GAGACAGCAGUAGCCACGGUAAUACGUAGGGUGCAAGCGUUAAUCGGAAUUACUGGGCGUAAAGCGUGCGCAGGCGGUUUGUUAAGUCGGAUGUGAAAUCCCUGAGCUUAACUUAGGAAUUGCAUUCGAUACUGGGAAGCUAGAGUAUGGGAGAGGAUGGUAGAAUUCCAGGUGUAGCGGUGAAAUGCGUAGAGAUCUGGAGGAAUACCGAUGGCGAAGGCAGCCAUCUGGCCUAAUACUGACGCUGAGGUACGAAAGCAUGGGGAGCAAACAGGAUUAGAUACCCGCGUAGUCCCUGUCUCUUAUAC
rnacentral:rRNA from 1 species